ACGUGUUUGCCAGGGUUUUUAAGUGAUGCAGCAGCUUAGUGAAGUUUAAAAUGUGACUACUAUUUUAUGUCUUUGCGUUAACCUUCCAAGACCUGGAUUCCCUGUCUGGAGCUCUGAGCGCAGUUUUCAUCCUUUCAGGUUCUGGGCUGUGAAGUCACAAGUUGUUAGAAGAAAUCCCCUCCAAGCAAGGUCUGGACAGAUAAAGGCAGAGCUCUUUGGCGUCCACCACCAGCAUGGUGUACCAGUUUGCCUAGUUUAUACUCAGGAUCCAGGUCAAAGAUUAACUUUUUGAAACAUGCUCACUGGAGUGCUGGUAAACCAACUUUGGGGCAGAGGGGAAAGUCCUGAUUUGUAAUGUUUGCUAUUUCAAUGGUGUAAAUACUCUCACCAUGGCCAAUUUCAAUCUGCCAUAUUUAACAGGAGCCUUGCCAAGUUCCUGGAUGAAACUAUCAGCUCUUGUACACAACUGACACAUGCUGCUCUUAAACAUUGUGGGGGCCUGAAUUCUGCUUGCAUUUUAUUUACCAAAGCAAAAUCACAUGACCAGGCUUGCUGCCCAAGGUGAAGAAAGCAUACUUCCAUACAUCUAUAAGGAAUAUUUGCAAGUCAGGUAGAGGGUAGACUCCACUGUUGGUUAACCAAUGACGUGUUGGCCCUGGAGACUUCUGGAUGCUCAGCUCCAACCCAGGUCUGUGUGAGCCAAGGUAGCAGAGGCAGAGACCCCCACAUGGUGCUGUCCUGUUCCCGGCAGAGGCACAUUCAUUAUCAGAGAUCAGAACUUGCCAAGGGUAUUCAUGGAUCACCUACAUGAGAAUCACUUGGAGGACUUCCAGAACUACGGACACAAAUAUAAGGACUCAGGAAUCUGGCCAAGGCA